UCUCUGCUAAUAUGAAAAUAGAAGUAUGGAGGGUGAGGCCUGCCCAAUGGUUGUAUCUAAAAGGGUCGGUAAAAGCUGACUUUAUAAGGACAAUUGAAUGGCCGCGGUAACACUGACCGUGAUAAUGUAGCGCAAUCAAUAGCCAAUUAAUUGUUGGCCGGUAUGAAUGGCGUCACGAAGGCCCCACUGUCUUAAGAAGACUCCCAGUGAAAUUGAAUUCGUAGUGAAGAUGCUACGUCCAAAUUGUUAGACGAAGAGACCCCAUUGAGCUUUACUGGAAACUUACACGGCUGAAAUAUAUUCUUGCUUAUAAAGAUUGAUCUAAGUUUAAGAUCUAUUUAGAGUAAGAAGUUUAAACUUAAAUAAAUAGCUAAGAUUAUGUGGUGAAAGACAUUUUGUCAGAGUCUUGUUUUUCGAUCCCAUCUCAUAGAGAGGAGAUCGGUCUUGAUCUAAGAUUUAACCGUUUUAGGCCAUCGGCCAAAGCCGUAGGCUAAUGGAGCCCACUCUUUUAUUUUAAGAGAGCUAACUCUUUUUCAUGAUCUUUGAUCUAAUGGUGAGAGGAACGACGUAAGUUGGACAGUUUGGUUGGGGCGACCGCCUUUUAAAAAGUAACGAAGGUGAGCUUAAGGUGCAUAAUUAAUAACAGCAGCCUGACUGCAAGGGGGACGUCCCGAGCAGACACCGGAGGCCGUCCAAAGCCAUUACAUGGCCAAGGGUUUUCGAUUUCAUAAUUAAAGCCUUUGACACAAGUUCUUAAGGCGGAAAAAGGUGGGCUAUAGUGACCCGUUAAUUUAAAGUGGAAUAGUUAACGAUCAACGGAUAAAAGCUACCAUGGGGAUAACAGCGUAAUAUCGUUAGAGAGCUUCCAUCGACGACGAUGUUUGCGACCUCGAUGUUGAAUUGCAGCAUCCUGGGGUGCAGCCGCUCCCAAGGGUUGGUCUGUUCGUCCAUAAG
rnacentral:rRNA from 1 species